UUUAUGGAGAGUUUGAUCCUGGCUCAGGAUGAACGCUGGCGGCGUGCCUAAUACAUGCAAGUCGAGCGAACUGACGAGGAGCUUGCUCCUUUGACGUUAGCGGCGGACGGGUGAGUAACACGUGGGUAACCUACCUAUAAGACUGGAAUAACUCCGGGAAACCGGGGCUAAUGCCGGAUAACAUGUUGAACCGCAUGGUUCAACAGUGAAAGACGGUCUUGCUGUCACUUAUAGAUGGACCCGCGCCGUAUUAGCUAGUUGGUAAGGUAACGGCUUACCAAGGCAACGAUACGUAGCCGACCUGAGAGGGUGAUCGGCC
rnacentral:rRNA from 1 species